rnacentral:rRNA from 1 species
AUUGAACGCUAGCGGGAUGCCUUACACAUGCAAGUCGAACGGAGUGGCGAACGGGUGAGUAUUGUAUCGGAACGUGCCCAGUAGCGGGGGAUAACGACGCCAAAGCGUACCUAUAGCCGAAUCCUCUUGAACGCGCAGAUAUCGGAUUAGCUAGGUGGUGGGGUAACGGCUCACCAAGGCGACGACCCGUAGCUGGUUUGAGAGGACGACCAGCCACACUGGGACUGAGACACGGCCCAGACUCCUACGGGAGGCAGCAGUGGGGAAUUUUGGACAAUGGGGGAAACCCUGAUCCAGCCAUCCCGCGUGUGCGAUGAAGGCCUUCGGGUUGUAAAGCACUUUUGGCAGGAAAGCGGUACCUGCAGAAUAAGCACCGGCUAACUACGUGCCAGCAGCCGCGGUAAUAC